GGGCCUGUAGAGGAGUGGAGUCCUCGUUUCCCUGUCACGGAAAAGAUCGUGGGUUCGAAUCCCAUCAGGCCCGCCA
rnacentral:tRNA from 1 species